rnacentral:lncRNA from 1 species
AUUGGAGAGCAUGGUUGUGCCAAGGCUCUCUAGCCAGGACAGCCCAUCCUCAGGCCACCCAGCUCCGUGAGUGAGUUCCCUGCACAGCCUGUGACUGACUCACCGAUGCAGUGGGGCUGAUCUUCACAUGGCACCCCAAGCAGGCUUUUCCAGUUCACAUCUGCCAACAAGGCAGCCAAGGGGGUGGUUUAGGAAGUAGAGAAAAGGUGAAAAGGCAGCGGAGGGAGCCGGCUGUCCUGUGUCUCCUCUUUUUCCUGCCCCCAGUGACUUGCAUUUUCUCUGAGACAGCUGCCAUUCUAGUCUCCCAGCCAUUCUUAGGAAGAGACGUGCCUGUCUCUGGGAAGAGGCAACUUCUCUGCAUGUCAGAGUUGGAUGCCUUGAUCUAGAGGGAAACCGGUGCUUUUCCCCAUUUAUCAUCCUCUUACAGAAGAAUUUCACUUGCAGCAACUUUGAACUGCCUCUGAACUCACUCAUGCUGCAGAAGAAUCCAUGCCUGUUUGUUGAUAUUUUGUUUUUCAUGCCUGAAGAGCACAACUGGAACAAACAAGAAGUUGGAGAGUAAGAUGCUUGCCAUAACAAAUCUGUCUGGCCUACAGUGCAUGCAAAUAUACUUGUAAGAAAAUUACCACCCCCAACUUCGCUCAAUGGGUGUCUUUGUUAUUGUACAAUUGUUAAAUGCAUUUCACAAUGAAGUUAUGUUAGAGUGUCAGGCCUCAAAUGGAGAUAAAGCAAUUCCUAAACAUAGUAGGUGGGUGUGAGUAGACAGCUAUUUCUUGUUCGAAUCACUACCACCAGCAUUAUCACUGAGAAGAAGAAUCAACAGGUCUCUUAGAGUGGAAACUGGGACCAGCCCCUCUCCUUCCUCCUGCCUGCACUCUCUGCCCAGGAGGUAGCAAGUUUGAAUCUAUUCUAAUGGCAUCCUUGAAAGGAUAUAAGCUUGUUUGGGGGAGCAAGGUCAGUCACCAUAACUCCAAC